CUGCUCUCAAGUCUGGGCCCCAUCCUGGCUCAUGAGACCCUAAACACUGACCAUGUUUUCCUUUACCAUUUAUUUUGACCAUAAGCACUCCCCCCAACCCCCAGUGCCAACCUUGGCUUCCCAUUAAAAUCACUGAGAGAUUUUUCAAAAUCCUGUUGCCGAGCUGCAAUAUCCUGGCCAAAUAAGUGAAAUUACCAGAAGUGGAUCUCAGGCGGAUUGAAAGGUCUCCGGGGGAGACUCGAGCCCCGGGCUACCUUGCCAGCAGAGUCUUGCCCAACACCCGCAAGGGCCCACAAGGGACUCCCCACGGGACCCUAAGACCUCUGGUUUUUAGAGAGGAGAGUCUCACCUCACAGUAUUCCGUGAUAAUGCAAAAAGUCUCCUGCUCCAUGAAGCUUGCAUGGAAUCUGACAAUGGCAGGAUGAUGGAGCCUGGAGAGGAGCUGAGCUUCCACAUUGGCCUGCACGGUCUCAUUUGGAUUUAAUUCGCCAACAGAGAUUUCCUUCAGUACCUUUCUGUAGCCAAAAACAAUAGAAAGCAAAGGAAGAAAAGAAAAAGAAAGAAGAGGAGAAGAAAGAAAGACAUCAAGAGUUGAGAAGUCUGUUUCUCUGUUGUAAGGACGUGGUACAGAACCCCUCACCAUGCCCAGGAAAUAAUCAGCUGCUCCAGGGCCUAGUUCUGCCUGCUCUGGGUCUGAAGCCCUGGGUCCCUGCCUGUCCCACCCAGUACCAUGGUGCUCCACAGCCUCUGAACGCCAC
rnacentral:lncRNA from 1 species